CGGGUGAGUCACACGUAGGUGACCUAUCCUUCAGUGGGGGAUAACAGGGAGAAGUUCCUGCUAAUACCGCAUCAUCUGAGCAUCUUUGGAUAGAGCUCAGGAAAGGUGGCCUCUUUACAAUGCUAUCGCUGAUGGAAGGGCCUGCGGGCCAUUAGCUAGUUGGUGGGGUAAAGGCCUACCAAGGCGAUGAUGGCCAGCCGGUUUGAGAGAAUGAUCGGCCACACUGGAACUGAGACACGGUCCAGACUCC
rnacentral:rRNA from 1 species